rnacentral:rRNA from 1 species
AUUGAACGCUUGCGGCAGGCCUAACACAUGCAAGUCGAACGAGUGGCGGACGGGUGAGUCAUGUCUGGGAAACUUCCUGAUGGACGGGGAUAACUACUGGAAACGGUAGCUAAUACCGCAUACCAUCGGAUGUGCCCAGGUUGGAGUAGCUAGUAGGUGGGGUAACGGCUCACCUACGCGACGAUCCCUAGCUGUUCUGAGAGGAUGACCAGCCACACUGGAACGGAGAAAAGGUCCAGACUCCUACGGGAGGCAGCAGUGGGGAAUAUUGCACAAUGGGCGAAAGCCUGAUGCAGCCAUGCCGCGUGGAUGAAGAAGCCCUUAGGGUGGUAAAGUACUUUCAGCGGGGAGGCGUUACCCGCAGAAGAAGCACCGGAUAACGCCGUGCCAGCAGCCGCGGUAAUUC